AGUUCCUACGGGGGGCAGCAGUGGGGGUUAUUGCACAAUGGGGGAAACCCUGAUGCAGCGACGCCGCGUGGGCGAAGAAGUAUUUCGGUAUGUAAAGCCCUCUCAGCAGGGAAGAAGAAAUGACGGUACCUGAGUAAGAAGCACCGGCUAAAUACGUGCCAGCAGCCGCGGUAAUACGUAUGGUGCAAGCGUUAUUCGGAUUUACUGGGUGUAAAGGGAGCGCAGGCGGCACGGCAAGCCUGAUGUGAAAGCCCGCGGCCCAACCGCGGGACUGCCUUGGGAACUACCGGGCUGGAUUGCCGGCG
rnacentral:rRNA from 1 species